rnacentral:tRNA from 4 species
GGCCUGAUGGUGAAGUGGAAACACGGAAGUCUGCAAAACUUCUAUGCACCGGUUCGAUUCCGGUUCAGGCCU